GGGGCCAUAGCUCAGUUGGGAGAGCGCUUGACUGGCAGUCAAGAGGUCGGGAGUUCGAACCUCCCUGGCUCCACCA
rnacentral:tRNA from 1 species